GGGGAUAGAUUUUACGUAAGAGAAGAAAGACUAAAAGGGUCAUUUUAUCCACAGACAAUGAUGGGGAUGUGGAAGGAGCGACUAUAGAAAGUGGUAUGGUUGAGUUCAGCUAGAGGGUUUAAAGGAUAUCUUUACAGGCUAAUGGAUAGUACCUGAUCGCAGGGUUAUGGGCUAGACGCAGGCAAAUGGAGCGAAUUCAAGUGGGCAUGGACCAUCUGGAAGGAACCACACUUUCUGUUCAUUGGUACUCUGUGAUUCCAGACAGAGGCCUGAAUAACAAGGAGAGUUUUAAGAAGAGUGUGAGGUUUAGAGGGGAUCUGAGGAAUAAUUGCCUCAUAAGGUUACCAUCAGGAACAUAAUGACGGAGGACAUGUUGCAGGCAGGUAUGUAAAAACCAUCUCUUUGAACAUUUGAAUCACCAAAGCAGAGAAGGCAAUAGACCAAACGCUGAAUUGGAGAAGGCAGAUAACUGGGAUAUAAUAAUGAGCUGAAAUCCCUGUUUCACUACUUAUAUGCCGGUUUCUUAGCUCUUACACAGGCCUUUUAAUCAUAGUUAAAGUCUGUAAAGUUUUAUGAGCUUUUUUUUCAUUUCGACGCCUUGUGCAGGUGCCGGUGGGCAAGUUAUACACGGGUUUCUGAGAUAGAGAUUGGGAUCCCGCAAGACAGUAUUUCUUAUUUCUUAUUAUAAUUAAUACUAUUUUCUCUAAGAUAGGUACAGGGGUGGGGAAAUCACUACUUAGAUGAUGGAGUUUUAUGGAUUGGAGUUAGAAAUGUCAAUUUAACUGUAUAUAGGAUGCCAUUAGCAAUUAAUCAGUUGGCUAAUCGAUGGGACUUAAGCUCUCAGUGGCAAAAAAAUAAAGUCGAGUGUUUUAUAAACAGGAUUAAUAGAAGACGUGUCAGUGGUGAGAAGUGGCAGGUGGAUGCACAAUGAGCUGACAUGGAAGCACCGUAUCAGUAAACUAAUUGAUAAAUAUAAAGGAGCAAUAAAUAUUCUCGGUGUCUCUGUGGAUAUUCUUCGGGUGCGACAUGAAAAUCUCUGCUGACCAUUUACAUUUGUUUCAUUAGAUCAUGUCUUGAUUCUGUGGUACAUGGAUCAGCUUCAUCUCCAACUUUCAAAUGUUUGGCUGUGAUACAAGCACAGGCUUUAAGAUUCUGUUGUGGUGCAGUAAGGCCGUCUCCUGUUUCAGGUUUACUGAUUGAUUUUGCGGAGAUUGACUUUAAUGUCAAUGUACUGGAUUAAUUUGAAGGAGCAAAUAAAUGAUCAUCCUGUUGGAGGUGUGUCGGAGGACAGUUGGGAACAUCACAAGAAGAGUGUUAUAGUUUUGUGUGCUUGGGUUCUUCUUACACUGGGAAUGUGGGUUCGUUGAAUUAUGCAAUAUGUUCCACUGUGGCAUUCCCGGUAACCCCAACUUGUUUGUUUUUUAAUGCCUUUAUUGAUUUUGGGGCACCCGAUUUAAUAAAGUCUCAGGAUUUUGUUAUGCCUGAGAAUCUGUUAGUUCAUUGGUAUAUUAAGGAAAUUUAUUGUGAUAUGUUAACCAUUUUACAGAAGGAUCAAAAUAUAAUUUAACUGGACUGUUGGUGUGGCUGUUUUUGUGCCCAGAUUACAGGUAACGAUAAAGAAACAAGAUUGACCGAUUUCUGGAGAACAACAUUCUCGAUGUCCACAGGGAACAGGGAGAACCCAAAGGGUUCGAUGGCGUGGUCCGGUGUCUCCUCCAUCAACCAGGGAUCCACAAAGCACAAAACGUUACUUUAUUUUGUUUCCCGCAGGUGAGAGAUUCUGGCUGUCAGUUCACACAGCUUGUUCUAAUCACGCUGGGAAUAUGGGUUUGUUGGAUUAUGCAAUGUGUCCCACUGUCGCGUUCUUGGUAACCCCACAUACUUUUUCUCAAACUUUUAGUUUAUUUUAGGUUACACAACUUAAUGAGGGCUCAGGAUACUGUUCUGCUUGACAAUCUUAGUUCGGCAGUAUAUUGUGGAAAAUUAUUAUGAUAUGUUAAACAUUGCUGCAGAAGAAUCAAAAGAUAACUUAACCGGGAUGAUGGUGUGGCCGUUUUUUGUUCAUGAAUUACAAGUAACGAUAAAGAAACAAUUUACCAACCAUUUAUCAGUAUAUAUAGUAGAAUUUGUUUCCAUCAUUUGAGGCUUUUGUUCAUGUAAGUUGCCAUUUGUUCAGAUGCCUGUUCGGUUUUGAUGAGUCUUAAAACAGGUAGUUCUUGCAGUAGGACAGAUUUACUGUUGGAAUCUAAUCAAACAUUAUUUCAGACGCAGAGUAUUGGUUUAUAUUUCCACUUUUUAUGGGUCCCUGCACACUGCGGAUCAGUAACAAAAGCUGUUAAAAUUCCAAAUAGCACAUCAGAAAUUGAGGGGUUGUUGGAUUAAUAAUUAAAUCAAGAUUGGUGGGAUAAAGGGCAUCAAUGGAGACACCUUUACAGAAUACAUACUUGUUUAUGGAAGUUUGUGGAUGACACAAGAAGGUAAGGAAUUACAUUGACACGCCUUAGAAUUUGACACACUAUGCUUAAUUACUGUAUGCCUUUGUUCGUGUUGGGAAGCAUCAUUCUGGGUAUGUAGAUCUCAUUUUAAAAAUGUCAAUAAUUUUAAUUUAACUCACUCUAUCGUGUUUUGUUACGUACAAUCUAUAGGACUUUUCGGGGGGUAACUUAGGUUUCAUUUGAAAAAGGAAGCAGUGAGGGUUUUCUGUCCCAAUUCUCUACACCACACUCCAGUCCAGUUCGUGUCCGGAAUGCAGCUUUAAAUUGGAGUGUCCGCCGUUGUUUAUACAAACCCCGCCCUCGUUCUCCACGUCAGCCAAUUAUUCAAAGAGAAGGCGGAGACUGGUGAUUGACAAUGGAUUAGCCAACCAGCAUCCGGCUAGACCGUCGUCAUCAAAGUGGUCCUGACGAAGGGUCUCGCACUGAAAUGUUGCUUCCCGACUUGCUGAGUUCCUCCAUCUUGUUUGUACGUGUCGACUAGAUCUCCGCCACUUUCUGGCAACGUCGGGCUGCGAGUUCGGUGGGCGGGAACGGGAAUUGAUGGGCAUAUCUGCAGACCAAUGGUCGAGCGGUAUUCACGAGUAAUUCUGUGACUGCCAUUUGACAGAUCCAAUGAGAUACCGAGUUUCCAGGCUGGUGUUCUGCCGCGUCCCACACACACACACUCGUAUCCUCCCGCAACUGCCGGUCGGUGGGACAAUCCGCCCGGGAAUAAACAUAGAAACCUCCGGCACAAAACAGGAGGUUGCUGUGCCGAACAUGUCCUCACCUUGGAAACACCUGGGAGAUGAGGCGGUGAAUGUGAGGAGCUGGAGCCCGGACCGGAGACACUGCGGCCGCCUCUGCCGUGUGCUCAGGACGCGGCUUUAUUAAUGAACUGAAGCCCCGAGGUGACCGGAUAUUUCACCGGCUCAUCACCUGAUAACGUCUGACCGGCGCAAUGCCCACGCACACAAAAAGGGAACAAACUGGCCUCUCCCGGAAACCACACCCCUUCGUCUUCUGAGAGAACAUUGCUGCUUUCCAAACAAUGAAGAAUUACACAACAUCUAUAAUUCACUGUCACACAAAAAGGGAACAAACUGGCCUCUCCCGGAAACCACACCCCUUCGUCUUCUGAGAGAACAUUGCUGCUUUCCAAACAAUGAAGAAUUACACAACAUCUAUAAUUCACUGUCACACAAAAAGGGAACAAACUGGCCUCUCCCGGAAACCACACCCCUUCGUCUUCUGAGAAAACAUUGUCACUGUCCAAACAACGAAGAAUUGCACAACAUCAGACAAUUCACUGUGCGAGUCAAUCGUCAUCACAGUGCGGGGUGGGGGACGUGGGGACGGGUGGGUGCUCGGGAAAACGAGCUGCAGUAAAGGAGGAAUUGGGGUGAGGGUGAGAGGUAGGGGAAGCGUUCGGUAGAAAGGGUGAAAGAGAUUAUAAGGGGAGAAGAAGGGGAGUGAGUGAAUGAGUGGGUAGGGUAGGGAGGAAUGUGCUGAGAACAAGGGUGUGUCAGUGGGGAAGGGAACAGAUGAAGAGAGGAGAGAGAGAGUGUGUGUGGAAGAGAAGGAAAUAGGUGAGGUGGGAGGAGGAAGAGAGAAUGAGGGAGUGGGAGACAAGAGAUGGAGAGAAAGAGACAGUGAGGAAAUGGGGAAGCAGAGGUGGCAAAAGUGGGAAGGGGUGAAAAUGGGGGCAGGAAAGUGGGGAGAGUUUGAGCCAAAGAGGAGGAAAAAGAUAUUUUACAACUUUACAAUCCCUGGCUCUGAUUGCCACACUUUGACCAUGGAUGUCCAGUAUCAAUUUACUUUUGUCCCCAGCAGGAAAUCCUGAAAGCACAUCGUUUGCUUCCCGACAACAGCCCCCACCAAUUCCCUUUCAUCGACACUUUAAAUGGAGUCAGAGAGCACUUUUACAAACAAACAAACACUUUUUCCCACUUAGUCCGUACCGAAUUAUUAUUUUGCCGAGUCCCAUAACCGCAGCUGGACCAUCGCACUCAAUACCCCUGAUCCAAACUUUUCUACAAUGAAAUCCAUAACUUCUACUGGCAGCUGUUCCUCAUCCUCACCACCCUCUGAGUUAAGGAGAUCCCACUCAGGUUCCUCUUAAAUAUUUCACCUUUCACCCUUAAACUGCAACUUCCAGUUCCCAUCUCACCCAACCUCAGAGGAAAAAUCCUGCCUCCAUUUACCCUGUGAACAACACUCAUAACGUUAUAUAAAUCUGCAAAAUCCCCCUUCAUUUUCCAAAACUAAAGGCAAUAAAGUCCUUACCUUUUACUAAAGCUCAAGUCCUCAAGUCCCAGCAAACGUAUUGUAAAUUUCUCUGCACUCUUUGUAUUUUGUUGAUAAUUUUCCUUCAGGCCGGUAACAAAAACUACACACAAUACUCCAGAUUAGGCCUGACCAACGUCUUAUACAACUUCAACAUAACAUCUCAUCUCCUGUAGUCAGUACUUUGAUUUAUGAAGUCCAAUGUGCCAAAAGCUCUCAUUUCGACUCUAUCUACCUGUGACGCCACUUUCAAGUCAUUAUGUAUCUGUGUUCCCAGAUCCCUCUCUUCUACCGACUCCUCAGGACCCGACUGCUCACCGUGUCUUCAUGCACCCGAAAUCAAUGCACACCGCAAAUCCAGUCCUUUGAAUAUGAAACAAUGUUUGAUGAGUUUCCAGCAGUAAAUCUGACCUACUGCGAGAAUGACCUGUUUUAAGACUCUUGAAAACCGAAAGGGAAUCUGAACAAAUUACAACUUUGCAUGGAAAAAAUUCCUCACCCACUGUAAGCACGAAUUGAUGACAAGCGAUUCUGUUGUAAAUCCUGAUAAAUAGCUUGUAGGUCGUUUCUUUAUCGUUACCAAUAAUUCACGCAUAAGACAGCAACAUCUACAAUCCCAGUGAAAUUAUAUUUUGAUCCUCUGGAAAAUGGUUAAACUUUGGCAAUAAUUUCCUUAAUGUACACUGAACCAACAAAUUCUCAGACUUCAUUAAAUCGUGUAUUCUAUAAUCAAAUAAAGGCAUUGACAGAAACAAGGUGGGGUUACCAAGAACACGACAGUGGGAUGUUUUGCAUAACCCAACAAGCACAUAUUUCAAGCAUGAUAAGAACCCAGGCAACGAAAACUAAAAACAAACUAACCUGUCAAGCCAAACGACAAAAUAAUCCUGCACAGGAAUAAAACUUAAAAUGUGCAGGUUUCCUGAACAGAUAUAACAUCGGAAGAAUCUGACAAACCAGAAAUAAACUGCUGAAAGUGUUGACCAUGUAAAAUCAGGCUUCUUGCAUUUCACUUCAAUAUUUCAAUCCCAUUACAUAUCUUCACAAGUAGACUGGGAUGCAGAAACCCCCACAACUCAGAGCUUCAUUUACAGCUUCCCACAGAACACCAGUUACACCAAGAUACCUUUCUGCAGCUUUCACAACAAUUUUAAUUUCCUCAGUAGGGUGAGAUGCCUUAGCAGUACAAUUCACCACAUUAGUCAUAAACAUCACAAACUUCAUUUUAUCAAGCAGUGAGGUGUCUUUCAUGAGAGAACUGUGAUGACGACAUAUAUCCACUGACGUCACAGUCUGUUCUCUGAGUGGGAUCACUUUAUCCAGUUUACCUGCUCUGCUUGCUGUACUUGCCCUUGAACAGGCCCUUCUGCUCACUGUGUUGUUCUGAACCAAUUGACCUG